rnacentral:rRNA from 1 species
UACAGAGGGUGCAAGCGUUAAUCGGAAUUACUGGGCGUAAAGCGUGCGUAGACGGUUAUGUAAGUCGGGUGUGAAAGCCCCGGGCUUAACCUGGGAACUGCGUUUGAAACUGGGAGACUUGAGUGUGGCAGAGGGGGGUGGAAUUCCACGUGUAGCAGUGAAAUGCGUAGAUAUGUGGAGGAACACCGAUGGCGAAGGCAGCCCCCUGGGUUAACACUGACGCUCAUGCACGAAAGCGUGGGGAGCAAACAGG